GCGAAUGCUGACAUAAGUAACGAUAAAGCGGGUGAAAAGCCCGCUCGCCGGAAGACCAAGGGUUCCUGUCCAACGUUAAUCGGGGCAGGGUGAGUCGACCCCUAAGGCGAGGCCGAAAGGCGUAGUCGAUGGGAAACAGGUUAAUAUUCCUGUACUUGGUGUUACUGCGAAGGGGGGACGGAGAAGGCUAUGUUGGCCGGGCGACGGUUGUCCCGGUUUAAGCGUGUAGGCUGGUUUUCCAGGCAAAUCCGGAAAACCAAGGCUGAGGCGUGAUGACGAGGCACUACGGUGCUGAAGCGACAAAUGCCCUGCUUCCAGGAAAAGCCUCUAAGCAUCAGGUAACAUCAAAUCGUACCCCAAACCGACACAGGUGGUCAGGUAGAGAAUACCAAGGCGCUUGAGAGAACUCGGGUGAAGGAACUAGGCAAAAUGGUGCCGUAACUUCGGGAGAAGGCACGCUGAUAUGUAGGUGAAGCGACUUGCUCGUGGAGCUGAAAUCAGUCGAAGAUACCAGCUGGCUGCAACUGUUUAUUAAAAACACAGCACUGUGCAAACACGAAAGUGGACGUAUACGGUGUGACGCCUGCCCGGUGCCGGAAGGUUAAUUGAUGGGGUUAGCGGCAACGCGAAGCUCUUGAUCGAAGCCCCGGUAAACGGCGGCCGUAACUAUAACGGUCCUAAGGUAGCGAAAUUCCUUGUCGGGUAAGUUCCGACCUGCACGAAUGGCGUAAUGAUGGCCAGGCUGUCUCCACCCGAGACUCAGUGAAAUUGAACUCGCUGUGAAGAUGCAGUGUACCCGCGGCAAGACGGAAAGACCCCGUGAACCUUUACUAUAGCUUGACACUGAACAUUGAGCCUUGAUGUGUAGGAUAGGUGGGAGGCUUUGAAGUGUGGACGCCAGUCUGCAUGGAGCCGACCUUGAAAUACCACCCUUUAAUGUUUGAUGUUCUAACGUUGGCCCCUAAUCGGGGUUGCGGACAGUGUCUGGUGGGUAGUUUGACUGGGGCGGUCUCCUCCUAAAGAGUAACGGAGGAGCACGAAGGUUGGCUAAUCCUGGUCGGACAUCAGGAGGUUAGUGCAAUGGCAUAAGCCAGCUUGACUGCGAGCGUGACGGCGCGAGCAGGUGCGAAAGCAGGUCAUAGUGAUCCGGUGGUUCUGAAUGGAAGGGCCAUCGCUCAACGGAUAAAAGGUACUCCGGGGAUAACAGGCUGAUACCGCCCAAGAGUUCAUAUCGACGGCGGUGUUUGGCACCUCGAUGUCGGCUCAUCACAUCCUGGGGCUGAAGUAGGUCCCAAGGGUAUGGCUGUUCGCCAUUUAAAGUGGUACGCGAGCUGGGUUUAGAACGUCGUGAGACAGUUCGGUCCCUAUCUGCCGUGGGCGCUGGAGAACUGAGGGGGGCUGCUCCUAGUACGAGAGGACCGGAGUGGACGCAUCACUGGUGUUCGGGUUGUCAUGCCAAUGGCACUGCCCGGUAGCUAAAUGCGGAAGAGAUAAGUGCUGAAAGCAUCUAAGCACGAAACUUGCCCCGAGAUG
rnacentral:rRNA from 1 species